UACGUAGGGGGCAAGCGUUGUCCGGAAUUAUUGGGCGUAAAGAGCUCGUAGGCGGUGUGUCACGUCGGCCGUGAAAACCUGGGGCUUAACUCUGGGCGUGCGGUCGAUACGGGCAUCACUAGAGUUCGGCAGGGGAGACUGGAAUUCCUGGUGUAGCGGUGAAAUGCGCAGAUAUCAGGAGGAACACCGGUGGCGAAGGCGGGUCUCUGGGCCGAUACUGACGCUGAGGAGCGAAAGCAUGGGUAGCGAACAGG
rnacentral:rRNA from 1 species